rnacentral:rRNA from 1 species
AGCAGUCGCCGCGGUAAUACGGAGGGUGCAAGCGUUAAUCGGAAUUACUGGGCGUAAAGCGCACGCAGGCGGUCUGACAAGUCAGAUGUGAAAUCCCCGGGCUUAACCUGGGAACUGCAUUUGAAACUGUCAGGCUGGAGUCUUGUAGAGGGGGGUAGAAUUCCAGGUGUAGCGGUGAAAUGCGUAGAGAUCUGGAGGAAUACCGGUGGCGAAGGCGGCCCCCUGGACAAAGACUGACGCUCAGGUGCGAAAGCGUGGGGAGCAAACAGGAUUAGAUACCCCUGUAGUCCCUGUCUCUUAUAA